rnacentral:rRNA from 1 species
UACGUAGGGGGCUAGCGCUGUCCGGAAUCAUUGGGCGUAAAGCGCGCGUAGGUGGCCACAUAAGUCCGUUGUGAAAGUCAAAGGCUCAACCUUUGAAAGCCGAUGGAUACUGUGUGGCUAGAGUACGGAAGAGGCGAGUGGAAUUCCUGGUGUAGCGGUGAAAUGCGCAGAUAUCAGGAGGAACACCAAUGGCGAAGGCAGCUCGCUGGGACGGUACUGACGCUGAGGCGCGAAAGCGUGGGGAGCAAACAGG